AAAAAAAAAUGAACUGGGCACUUAUCCGGCUACAAGGCUACAAGCAGAUGCAGACGCCCACAAAACUUGACAAUUUUUAAACAGCGACCUUCGGGCGGCUGCCCCUUGAGGGUUCCUACCCCACUGAGUAGGUUACAUAAGCUCCUUUAAUCGCAGGUCAUCAUGCGUCAAUAGUCUUUGAUUUUUGGGGUCACGGGGUGACGAGGUCAUAAAACCCCUCGAUUCGUGUUACAACUUGCCUUCCUCCACUUCCACCCUUCCCACCCUCAUUCGUGUCUAAGUUCAAAAUAAUUAUAUUGUGUUGCAUGCCUUUAAGCACAACUAAUAUUGUUUUAUUUUUUAAAAGACUACUGUAGAAAGACUAUGGAUAUGCGUCUGAACUUAUUUCGUCCUUUUCGUCUUCAUCAAUAGCAUGAUAAGCUCUGUCGAUAUGACCUGGACUUGCGAAAGAUGAUCAAUAUUGUAAAAAAAGAUGUUUUGCGACUUGAAUCUUUAUAUACUUUUCUACCUGGGGCUAUAUUUAGGUAGUGAUAAAAGUAAUGAUUGUUCUAAAUACGGUUAUUUGACACUCUUUUUUUAAAAAAAACAACACCGUAUUCGUUGUUGCCCACUUUUUGUCGACUGGUUUUAACCAGCUGAUGCAUACGGACUCAUAUCGGACGCAGAGAGGUAAUGAGACAUCUGUGAUUUCUCCACGACCUUACAUCGCUGUCGGAACAUUAAUGUUGGACUGUGUUUAUGCCGAGCCAGCCCUGUAAACAGAUGCCACAUGCAGAGAAAGAACAAUUCAUGUGCCCGAGACAAAAGCUGGACCCUGGACACCCAACCUUCAUUGUAUCGGUAACCAGGUAACCAGUGCGCCACCGGACCUCCCAAUCUCGACAGGAAGAGGGUGGAUAACAGGUGGGGGGCAAAAGUCAUGCUGACAAUUAACGACGUUCACUUGGGGCGGGUGUCCCCUGAGGGUUCCUACACCACUGGGUAGGUUACAUAAGCUAUUUUAAUCGCAGGUCAUCGAGCGUCAGUAGUGCCCCUAGUGACCGAACUGGACUAGCCAAUCACGACAGAGGGUUAACACGCUGGAGUAAACAUAGGUCAACCUCCUCAGCGGUUUCACUUGUGAGCUAGCCACCGUCCGAUUGGCUAUAACGUAGUCACAUGACUAGAAAGUCUCCAUGUAUUUCUUGCCAUGUGAGACGCGCCAAACCACAUGACUGUUUCAGAGCUUUGUCUCCCGAGUGAGAACUUCGUACAUGGAAAGAAAUAACGACCUCAGCAGACGAACCGUCCUAUCUGCUAUCUUUAUCCGCGCUCCAAAAAUAGCAACAAUCCAGAUGCUAACAGUGGUUUUUGAAGCCAACCAAAGACGAACAUUUCCAAGGAAGGAUCCGUAAAAAGCUCUGCUUGCUGCGUGGACUAAAUGUAUUUUCAUCAAAACCAGGAGAGAUAAAAUGUGCGUUUGAGCGACAGCAUAGUCGUGGUGUGCAGACCUUGAAAUUGCGGGUCAGCGCAGGGAUACUGUCUUCUCUUCAUCAAUAAACAGAGCUCGGCAUGAUGUGCUACCUGUGUCCGCUGGAUCAGCUGUACGGCCGACGGCGCCUGGCUCUGCUUGCCGUGGGUGUGGGCGUCCUCCUGCUGCUCUUCUCCGCUGGUUUCGAGCACUCGUGGAAGCACGUUUGCGCCCCUGCCAACAGCAGUGAUGUGACCCAAAGCUUCAGAGGGGUUUACACGGAUCGCGGAGCAUAUGAUGGCUUUGACAUUCGGCAUUACAUUCAGACAGCAGCAGUAGUGGUUGGCACUGCCACGUUCUUGAUCAGUGCUACCUUGUGGGGUGAGGUCUGGGAUGAACAUUUCCUGCGACUGAGACUGGUUGUCGUCAUCAGUAUGUCGCUGU